rnacentral:rRNA from 1 species
AACUAACGCUGGCGGCGUGCCUAACACAUGCAAGUCGUACGAGAAAGUUGGCUUCGGCCGAUGAGUAAAGUGGCGCACGGGUGAGUAAUGCGUGGAUAAUCUGCCCUUUAGUUGGGAAUAACGUACCGAAAGGUGCGCUAAUACCUGAUAAUACUGCAUAACUACUGUUGUGUAGUCAAAGAAGGCCUCUGUUUACAAGCUUUUGCUGAAGGAUGAGUCCGCGUACCAUUAGCUGGUUGGUGGGGUAAUGGCCUACCAAGGCUACGAUGGUUAGCUGGUCUGAGAGGAUGGCCAGCCACACUGGAACUGAGACACGGUCCAGACUCCUACGGGAGGCAGCAGUGAGGAAUCUUGCGCAAUGGGGGAAACCCUGACGCAGCAACGCCGCGUGAGUGAGGAAGGCCUUCGGGUCGUAAAGCUCUGUCAGAUGGGAAGAAGCGAAAGUGACGGUACCUGCAGAAGAAGCACCGGCUAACUACGUG